UACAGAGGUCUCGAGCGUUAGGCGGAAUCACUGGGCUUAAAGCGUGUGUAGGUGGAUGCCUAAGUACCUUGUGAAAUCCCACAGCUUAACUGUGGAACUGCUUGGUAUACUGGGUGUCUUGAGUCACUCAGGGGCGAGCGGAACAAAUGGUGGAGCGGUGAAAUGCGUAGAUAUCAUUUGGAACGCCAAUGGUGAAAACAGCUCGCUGGGGGUGUACUGACACUGAGACGCGAAAGCGUGGGGAGCAAACAGG
rnacentral:rRNA from 1 species